rnacentral:rRNA from 1 species
AUGAGUGCUAGUGUUAGGGGGUUUCCGCCCCUUUAGUGCUGCAGCUAACGCAUUUAAGCACUCCGCCUGGGGAGUACGGUCGCAAGACUGAAACUCAAAGGAAUUGACGGGGGCCCGCACAAGCGGUGGAGCAUGUGGUUUAAUUCGAAGCAACGCGAAGAACCUUACCAGGUCUUGACAUCCUCUGACAACCCUAGAGAUAGGGCUUUCCCUUCGGGGACAGAGUGACAGGUGGUGCAUGGUUGU